ACACACACACACACACACACACACAGAACAUGGAUACACACGGUUUACAGUAUAGAAUGUCUCUCCAAGGUGACUGAGCCCUCAGGAUCAGCGGUCUUGUAUGAGGGUGACUAGAGCUGUGUUGACAGACACGUUAAUGUACUGAGGUCUGUGGGAAUUUCUCCGAGCUGUAAGCCUGACAGAAUCAUGUUGCCAACACCUUUUAUCAAAGGACUGUUAAAGGGGAUGUGCGGCUGAUUGGGGAUUUAUAAAGACUUUUCUUCAGCUACUGAUCUGUUCGUCUCCGGAGGUCUGCUUAUGUCGCUAUUCAACAACAUCCAAUCGACACCUGUCGUCGCUCUGAGGCGUAAGAGUUCAGGGAAGUGUAGAUCCUGGAAAAUGUCGAGACAAUUCCCAGCACCCGCGAGCAGAAAGCAUGGCCGUGAUCUCCUGCGUCGUCAACCUCCUACCUACCUAACCUCUCACCUGUACCCCGAAGGACAGCUUUUGUCGUGGCAACCAAACGAGGAGGCUGCUGAGGGGAGGACGGCUCAUAAUAACGUCUGGAACGGCGCGCAAGGGAUUUGCAUCAAACACCUGGAAACCAUGGAAACCAAUGUGUUUGAUGUAUCUGAUACCAUUCCACUGAAUUCCGCUCCAGCUCUUACCACGAGCCCAUCCUAACCCACCUGAGCAACCCAACUGGUGUUCUCUGCCUGGCCUGGACCCAGAAUACAGUUCUGCCAUUCUCCUGACAUCCCAGAAUACAGUUCUGCCAUACUCCUGACAUCCCAGAAUACAGUUCUGCCAUACUCCUGACAUCCCAGAAUACAGUUCUGCCAUACUCCUGACAUCCCAGAAUACAGUUCUGCCAUACUCCUGACAUCCCAGAAUACAGUUCUGCCAUACUCCUGACAUCCCAGAAUACAGUUCUGCCAUACUCCUGACAUCCCAGAAUACAGUUCUGCCAUACUCCUGACAUCCCAGAAUACAAGACAGACCAAACUGAGGAGAACUUAACCCAGUGUUGCAAAACGGAGAAGACAUUCUUUGCUACUGCUGUUUGAGGCCAAAAUUAGGUUAUAAAAAAGAUAUUGAUCCUCAAACCAGACAGUCACUACGCCUGGGUGGAUGGGCAGAAACCUCGACCCAGCAACGUAACAGUAUUACUACGGACCGCUCUGUCUCAGGACUAGGCUUAUGAACUAACACACACUAACUACCUAUUACAGCGGCAGACACACGUCUGAAGUGGAUAGUAAGAUUACUGUUGAUCAUGAUCAUAAUAAACAGAUUGCAAUCAA